UACGGAGGGUGCAAGCGUUAUCCGGAUUCACUGGGUUUAAAGGGUGCGUAGGUGGGAAUGUAAGUCAGUGGUGAAAUCUCCGUGCUUAACAUGGAAACUGCCAUUGAUACUACUGGUUCUUGAAUUUUCUGGAGGUAAGCGGAAUAUGUCAUGUAGCGGUGAAAUGCUUAGAUAUGACAUAGAACACCAAUUGCGAAGGCAGCUUACUACAGGGAUAUUGACACUGAGGCACGAAAGCGUGGGGGAUCAAAACAG
rnacentral:rRNA from 1 species